GACGAACGCUGGCGGCGUGCUUAAUACAUGCAAGUCGAACGGAAAGGCCCUGCUUUUGUGGGGUGCUCGAGUGGCGAACGGGUGAGUAACACGUGAGUAACCUGCCCUUGACUUUGGGAUAACUUCAGGAAACUGGGCUAAUACCGGAUAGGAGCUCCUGCUGCAUGGUGGGGGUUGGAAAGUUUCGGCGGUUGGGGAUGGACUCGCGGCUUAUCAGCUUGUUGGUGGGGUAGUGGCUUACCAAGGCUUUGACGGGUAGCCGGCCUGAGAGGGUGACCGGCCACAUUGGGACUGAGAUACGGCCCAGACUCCUACGGGAGGCAGCAGUGGGGAAUAUUGCACAAUGGGCGGAAGCCUGAUGCAGCAACGCCGCGUGCGGGAUGACGGCCUUCGGGUUGUAAACCGCUUUCGCCUGUGACGAAGCGUGAGUGACGGUAAUGGGUAAAGAAGCACCGGCUAACUACGUG
rnacentral:rRNA from 1 species